rnacentral:rRNA from 1 species
AACGAACGCUGGCGGCGUGGAUGAGGCAUGCAAGUCGAACGAUCAUUUGCGUGUAGCAAUAUAUGCAAAUGGGAGUGGCGUAAGGGUGAGUAACACGUGGGUAAUCUACCUCCAUGUUGGGGAUAACCCGGCGAAAGCUGGUCUAAUACCGAAUGUGGCAAUCUGUCGCAUGACAGAAAAUCUAAAGGCGGGACCGCAAGGCCUGUCGCAUGGGGAUGAGCCCACGCCCUAUCAGCUUGUUGGUGAGGUAACGGCUCACCAAGGCUUACGGGUAGCUGGUCUGAGAGGAUGGUCAGCCACACUGGGACUGAGACACUGCCCAGACUCCUACGGGAGGCUGCAGUCGAGAAUCUUUCGCAAUGGGCGCAAGCCUGACGAAGCGACGCCGCGUGUAGGAUGAAGGCCUGGUU